rnacentral:lncRNA from 1 species
CCUGCUUUUCAACGGCUUUCUUCCAUUCCGGCGGACGACUAUUUUGUAUUCCUUUUUCUCUAAUGCCCGUUAAUCCCUUCUCUUUCUUUCCAUUCCAGUAGUCUUAUGCGGUCUGGUCUGUCCAUUAGUUCUUCUAUAUGGCUUCUUUGAUUUAGUAGAAAGCCUGGUUCAAGCCAUCUCAUAGGUCGUCCCUCAGUACGAGAGAUUCAAAUGCUCUAUCAAUUCAAAUGCGAAUAUAGGCCUUAUUUCAGCAGAUCCGUGCAAAUAAUCGAUUUUAGUAAGGGUUUUCUAAGAUUAUAAAGGUCCGUUGAUGGUCAUCGGUCCUUACUUGAAUUUAAUAGUUCGAUUCCCGGUCCCCGGUCAUCUUUCUUCUAGCUUUUAGUUCUGUCUAGCGAUUCCUGUAAAUAAAUAUGUUCUACGUCCCUUGUUAGUAUUGGUCCUGUCCCGUACUCUAUUUAUCGGUCUUAACUGGAUCAAUUGCUUUGUCGGAACUCUUCCCUUGCUUGCUUCAUCUCGCCUAUAGUUCGAUAGUAUGGCAUUCUUUCUUGAGUAACAAGCUGUAGUAACAAGGCUUGUUCAAAAGAGGUACUACGGUCAACUUUUGAAAGCGUAAUCCGGGCUAAUAUGUCAAAGCGGUCAUCUGCGGCAAAGGCUUCUGUAACUGUGGAAAAGGGUCCUGUCUUUCAAUCACUUUAAUCGGUUUAUUCGUUAUUAUAGAGGAUUAUAACUAUAGCAAACAUUCGGCAGUGCAGGGUAGGUGCAAAAGAAAGAUAAGCUUGAGAUGCUACAAUUGCUUCAGCCUGAUCGAUCCUCCUUUAGUAUUGGUAAGUUCCCUUGUUAAUCUCUAUCGCUAGAAGGCCAUUUCUUUUUAGUGAAAAGGAAACUGAAAAAGAGCUUCUCUUAUAAGGUAAGCCCUUGCUAAAGGAAUGCUUACCGAAGGGCAUGUCCCUAUAUAUGUAUACUACUGCCAGCCUUUCACUCCUCAAGUCAGGAACCAAGCUACGGAUGAGCGCUUUAACAGGACUUCAGCUUACAGAAAAUAGGCCUACGAAAGAAAAGAAAGAAGCCAUAGAGAUUGACUCAUAACAGAAAGGAUUAUCCUAAUAGAUGUUCUGUCUUUCAUUAUUAACACAAUCCCAUGCUAAUAAGAAAAACGAGCGAUUGCUAGCCUUAUUAGUUAGUCAAGUAGUCAAGGUCAGUAGAGCGGGAAGAAAUUCACCAAGCAAAGGAGACUCCGAUGAAGCAAACAACGGCUACCAGAAGAGCGGCAUCCGUUUUCCACGGGGCCCCUCUUUUUCUGUUCCCUACGUAUGUGAUUGAAAGAGACAAAGAAAGGUAGGAAUUGGAUCGAUGACAAAGUACGGAUCCCGAUUGCUCUGUCACUGCAUCCAACUACUUGUUUCUAGCUAAAGUGAGAAACGAUACCUUGCCACAUGGAACUGGGUCUGACAAUACCAUUCUUAUCCCGCCCUCCAGCCCUUGUGAGUGAGCAAAGCCUGAUACCGAGCAAGGAAACUUACCCUGCCACAUUGAUCAUGGAAGUAGCGGAUUGAAAUGAGAGUGGCAAGGAAGAGACCAAGCAAGAGGCAUUCCGUUCUAUACUUGUGAGAAUCCUUGUUCCACAUUCCUCUACAAGAAAAAGAGCAGAUCGAGCUGACAAAGAGAAGGGUUUGGUUUGGCUGUUGCUAUCGAGCGAGACAUGAAACUUUGAUCGAGAUGGAGAUGCUCCUGUGUCAGUUACUAGUCCACAUGUACCAAACGAAGGACAAUUUUAAAAUCAGAUUGAAAGUGGAGAGGUAGCAGAUCAAGGUUGGACGGAUACGGGAAUGCCAAAGAAGAGAUGGUUGCCUGGGAUGGACAUCUCACUCGAAAGAAGCACGAGCGGACAGCUUCUUCCAGCUAAACAACGAGUAAGGAAGAGCUAGUCUUUCAAGGAAACACAAGACACAGUGCAGUUGCAUCGAUUAACCUCUUUGGGUUAGGGAACGGUAACAGAUUCCGUCUCUGAUAGAGUCUAUUGCGCGCGUGAGAGCUUUCUAUGCUUAGCGCUAGGAGUGGCACUUGCCUUGCCUUCGUUAGGAGAGGGGUGAACGGAGGAAAGAAGAGUUGUACCGAAGACUUUAGAUUAGCAUACAAUACAAUGCAGUCCCGCGCUUUGGCUUAGUCACUCUCUCGUCCUUCCUGAGAGCGGAUGUCAGGAUUGAACAAGAAGAGUUGCUACGUGUAACAUAAAGAAGACUUUGAACCAUCUCUUCCUCUCCCUGCCGGUCGAGCUAGCUAUCGCUUCCUCUAACAAGAUAAGAAGCCGUUAGCAGUCCAGGUUAGGGUUUCGGUUUAAUACCAAUCCCCCUAUUCUGAUAGCAGAGUAGUGUUAAAACCAAUAAAAUAAGUAUGGGCGACGACCUAGUCUUUCAACACAGUCAACAUCCUCGGUUUAGCAGUAGCAGUCAAGUGACCAGUUCAGUCAUAGGUAUUCGUUCUUUGAGUCGGUUUAGUUACAAUCUCAGUCUUCGUCGCAUCAAUCAUUCUCACUAUCGCUCUCGCGGAAUUUAUUCGCGAACUCGAAAUAACCUGUAUCAGACAGACGGGAUUUAGGUAAUGAAAUAGAAAGCCCUAGCCAGUGAUGAACCGAUUGAUAUACUCGUCAGCUACUCGCGCAUCCCCGACGAGAAAACCAUCAACGAGAAGCUAGUAUUUGACAAAUCUCCUGCCAGGGUAGACCGCAUCCGCACUGAGCCACACAAGAAUGUGGUGACACAAUGAGAAUAACGGCCAGGAUGAUAGGAAGCCCAAGGGUUGACCCGUUGUAAAACAGAUAAACUUAAAGUUGCCUUCUGCUGAGUUAGGAGCCCGAAAUCUAUUUGACUUGUAAUCCGGACUCAACCCAAGCGUGGGCGACUACCUUGUUAAACAAAUACUCGAUCACUGUCCUCUGGAACUUAAGAUAAGAGGAAAGCGGUCAGUUGCAGAAGAAAAAUCAUAAGAUCUUACCUGAAUGCAACCCUUCCACCAGCGCCGAGGUGCAGGUUGAUCGAAAGUUCCAUCUUGUGGGAUUUUCCUUAAGAUCGACAUACACAAAUCAUGCGCGGGACGAAGUAGUGCCCGCUUUCAUUGUUGGCGUUAGGAAUAGCGAAUACUCGCACCUUCCCAGCACCUUCUUCCCAGGCGACCAGUCGAAUACAUUGUCAGUAGAUAGUCAUAUGGAGGUCUCAUACGGAAUGCUGACAUACAAAACAACUAACUAUAAGUCAGCAGACCAGUACGAAAGGCCGCUGAUGAAGCGAACCUAGAUUCAGUAUUAUGUACUAAUUGAUUUACUGAAUACGGGUAAGAAGCUUCUUCCUCAGAAAGAGGGUCAAUCUCUCUGGAAGGAAAGAAAUAGCUAAAUACUGGAACAAUGUAUUGCAAGGAUCAUUCUAACAUAUCAGUAGAAAAAGGGCCAGGUUCGGAUAAACGAAGCCUCCUCAUCAGACCAAAAGCGAGGCCUUGCCUUAUCCCAUAAGGCGACCGAGAAUCAGUCCCAGAUCAUCCUAUGGAACGGUGAUUUCUCACCCGGCACAUAACGAUAGGGGACUGAUGAAGCAGUCCAAAUCGGAAACCAUUUCAAACCAGUCGAUAGAGGAACUGACUGGAAUGAAGGUACAUAUCUACUGAUAAGUGACACAACCUUCGUUCUCAACUCUUCAAGAAGAGAGUCGAAAGAAGCGUUAAGUUCUUGUGUAAUCGAAACUGAUAAUUUUCUUUUUCUUCUUUACUUAUAUUAGUUAUUAGUUUCGACAACGAAAACACAGACAGAGAAAAUCAAAUCUUACGAGUUUAUCCGCUUUCUCAUCUCUCCUUCUAAUGAGGGCGCGAUGAAACGAAGGAAUGCAUCUUGGAAGGCCACACUUAGUAAGAGAUAUAAGAUAAGGCCUAUGGGUAGUUACUCUGACAAUCCAUAUCCCAUUUCGGAGUUCACAUUGGAAGCAUCAGGAUCCGGCCGAAGGGUCCGUCGGCUCCGGCAACAUAGUACCUGCGUCUGCUGGAAAUAAGCCUUUUUGGUUUUGGGCAUACCAUCCUGAAUCCUGCUUCUGCUCCUGACCAGGGCCAAUGCACCACCCAAAACUUUCUUUUAUUAUCUACGCUAUUUUUAUUUGAUGCUUUUUUGUUGAAAUUGAGUUGUUGUAAUUUCGAUUGUUGAGUUGAACAUAGGAUUCCGAAGGUUAGUUUGUUAGUGGGGGUUUGGGGGGGACCAUUUUCUUCCUUGAAAGCUGAGUUGGAGGAAGACUCUGGGGCUCCCCAACCUCUUCCCCAGCAAGAUCGGGAAAAACCGCCUUUUCGCCUUUAGAUUAGAACCUGACUCGUUAGAGGAUUGAGUAUUGGCCAGGGCUCACACUAAUGAGCAUAGGAAAAGGAAUCCAGGUAAAUUGUUCGAACCACGGAACCUAAUCUUUUUGUGCCCAUUCUCCGCGAGAAGCAACGGAAAAAAGGAACGGGCAAGUCCCAGCCAGUGCCAGUGAGAGUGACAGUCUGAGUUUACAGCGUUCUAGUUCUGGAGCUAGGGAAAGAGAAAGCUCUGCCUCAAGCCUCCAGCAGUCAAAGAAUGAAGUGAAGACAAUAUCAAAUGUCUGUGGUAAUCAUCCCUAUAAUAUGGGGAAGCUUUGGUAGCAAUCCAAGCAAGAAAGCAAGUCAAGCUUAUUCGUCCUUUAGGAGCAAGCAAGAACAGCUACUAUCUCGUUAUCAUAUCCUGCGGAGUAAGCAACACCAGCUACUCUCUCAACUGGUAACCUCUUUUCAACAGGGGGAAGUCGUUCCUACUUCUAGUCAUACCUCUACUCUAGUUUGACCUCUUACCGAUUCUAGUCCCCACCAGCCUUCCCUCCAUCCAGUAAAAGAAGAUGGAUUAGCUCGUGCCUCUCCCAGUACUGAAAAAAAAAAAGAUCCAGUUCUUGCGCCAAGAAUUCCUUUGAAUACCUUUUUUCGGAGUAUUUUCUCUUUAUCAGUCUUGGUGCUCAGAUUGG